rnacentral:rRNA from 1 species
AUUGAACGCUGGCGGCAGGCCUAACACAUGCAAGUCGAACGAGUGGCGGACGGGUGAGUAAUGUCUGGGAAACUGCCUGAUGGAGGGGGAUAACUACUGGAAACGGUAGCUAAUACCGCAUACCAUCGGAUGUGCCCAGUUGGGAUUAGCUAGUAGGUGGGGUAAAGGCUCACCUAGGCGACGAUCCCUAGCUGGUCUGAGAGGAUGACCAGCCACGCUGGAACUGAGAAACGGUCCAGACUCCAACGGGAGGCAGCAGUGGGGAAUAUUGCACAAUGGGCGCAAGCCUGAUGCAGCCAUGCCGCGUGUAUGAAGAAGGCCUUCGGGUUGUAAAGGACUUUCGGCGGGGAAGCGUUACCCGAAGAAGAAGCACCGGCUAACUCCGUGCCAGCAGCCGCGGUAAUAC